AUUGAACGCUGGCGGCAUGCCUUACACAUGCAAGUCGAACGGUAACGCGGGGCAACCUGGCGACGAGUGGCGAACGGGUGAGUAAUGCAUCGGAACGUGCCCAGUAGUGGGGGAUAGCCCGGCGAAAGCCGGAUUAAUACCGCAUACGACCUACGGGUGAAAGGGGGGGAUCGCAAGACCUCUCGCUAUUGGAGCGGCCGAUGUCAGAUUAGGUAGUUGGUGGGGUAAAAGCCUACCAAGCCGACGGUCUGUAGCUGGUCUGAGAGGACGACCAGCCACACUGGGACUGAGACACGGCCCAGACUCCUACGGGAGGCAGCAGUGGGGAAUUUUGGACAAUGGGGGAAACCCUGAUCCAGCCAUGCCGCGUGCGGGAAGAAGGCCUUCGGGUUGUAAACCGCUUUUGUCAGGGAAGAAACGCUCUGGGCUAAUACCUUGGAGUAAUGACGGUACCUGAAGAAUAAGCACCGGCUAACUACGUGCCAGCCGCCGCCGUAA
rnacentral:rRNA from 1 species